AUUGAACGCUGGCGGCAUGCUUUACACAUGCAAGUCGAACGGCAGCACGGACUUCGGUCUGGUGGCGAGUGGCGAACGGGUGAGUAAUACAUCGGAACGUACCCAGUAAUGGGGGAUAACUAUCCGAAAGGAUAGCUAAUACCGCAUACGCCCUACGGGGGAAAGAGGGGGAUCGCAAGACCUCUUGUUAUUGGAGCGGCCGAUGGCUGAUUAGCUAGUUGGUGAGGUAAAGGCUCACCAAGGCGACGAUCAGGAGCGGGUCGUAGAGGACGACUCGCCACACGCGAACUGAGACACGGUCCACACGCCAACGGGAGGCAGCAGUGGGGAAUCUUGGACAAUGGGCGCAAGCCUGAUCCAGCAAUGCCGCGUGCGUGAAGACGGCCUUCGGGUUGUAAAGCGCGUUUGUCAGGGAGCAAAUCCUGGUGGCUAAUACCCACCGGGGAUGAGAGUACCUGAAGAAUAAGGACCGGCUAACUACGUGCCAGCCGCCGCAGUAAAAC
rnacentral:rRNA from 1 species